rnacentral:rRNA from 1 species
AUCCUGGUCGGACAUCAGGAGGUUAGUGCAAUGGCAUAAGCCAGCUUGACUGCGAGCGUGACGGCGCGAGCAGGUGCGAAAGCAGGUCAUAGUGAUCCGGUGGUUCUGAAUGGAAGGGCCAUCGCUCAACGGAUAAAAGGUACUCCGGGGAUAACAGGCUGAUACCGCCCAAGAGUUCAUAUCGACGGCGGUGUUUGGCACCUCGAUGUCGGCUCAUCACAUCCUGGGGCUGAAGUAGGUCCCAAGGGUAUGGCUGUUCGCCAUUUAAAGUGGUACGCGAGCUGGGUUUAGAACGUCGUGAGACAGUUCGGUCCCUAUCUGCCGUGGGCGCUGGAGAACUGAGGGGGGCUGCUCCUAGUACGAGAGGACCGGAGUGGACGCAUCACUGGUGUUCGGGUUGUCAUGCCAAUGGCACUGCCCGGUAGCUAAAUGCGGAAGAGAUAAGUGCUGAAAGCAUCUAAGCACGAAACUUGCCCCGAGAUGAGUUCUCCCUGACUCCUUGAGAGUCCUGAAGGAACGUUGAAGACGACGACGUUGAUAGGCCGGGUGUGUAAGCGCAGCGAUGCGUUGAGCUAACCGGUACUAAUGAACCGUGAGG